UUUUACAUUCAGAACAGCAGCAGGAGCAGAUGGAUAUUGGAAACAAAGUCCCCACCCCCUCCCUUUGCCUCCUUGUGCUCCUUCCCAAAGCUGGAACAGCCCUUCCCACCAGGGCUCUUUGUGAUUGUCCUGCCCGAGUGCCAGGGGUGGGUUCAGCAGGGAGUGCUGGGCUGCAGCGUGCUGGUGCCACUGCCCUGGCAGUGCCACCGUGCCCCUUUGUGACUUUGGGACUCACAGAGGGAGAACCAGCUCCCUCGGGAGCUUGGGCUCAGCUUACCUUGGAUCUUGUUCCAUUAACUUUGGUGGUGGCUUUAUUCUUUUAAUCCUGAACUUAGCAGAAUGAGCAAGCCAAGCCUCGCCGUGGGUAGUCAGACACAUUUGGGAGCUAUCGUGCACAGAAGUUGAUUGUAACACCCACCCACCGUGUGGGCAACAGCCUCGGGAACAUAUGCUCGUAUCUUAAUGGACCCAGUCAGUGAGUGCUGAAAAGUGAACAAAGGAGCAUUAGUGCUGUACAUCCAGACUGAUCAGUCUGUGCUGGUGUCGCUGUGGUCGUGGCAGAUCACAGGAAUUUCCCUUGAUGGGGCUCCCACCUUUACUGUCUCCUGCUGCCCACGUGCUCUGUGUUCACCUGUCUCCUCGGGUCUCACCUGUCUCCUCGGGUCUCACCUGUCUCCUCAGGUCUCACCUGUCUCCUCAGACUCCUGUCUCAGUUCAGACCCUGCUGCUGGCAGCUGGACUCCUUUGCUCACCUGUGCAGAGCUUUUGGCCUUUCCUUCUACCUCUGUCCCUGCACAUAAUUUCUGGUUUUCUUCUCUGCAUUCUUUUGUGCUUCUUAACAAAACAAUGAAAGAAAAAAUCUCUCCGAACUCUCCCGAGUAGUUCCAUAAGAUGUAACACUGACACUGAUAUUAACACCUGCUCCACCUGGGAGAGGCUCUUGGUGCUGGGAGUGAUCUCGGUGCUCCCCCAGUAUUUUACAGACACACACUGAAAAGCGUCUUUAUUCAGUUUGACUGUUGCUAUUAUGUGGCGAGGCAUUCAAUAAAAGUUGUGAUUUAUGAGAUGUGUGUGGCCGUUGUUGUUUUUUGCUCUGUCAUCUAUCAGGGAGAGAAAAGCCAGGCCUGAUAAUUCUUGGCACUUGGUUUUUUCAGUUAAGAAUGUCAGCUGUCAGGCUGUCAAGAGAAGUUAUUUCUCUGGGUUUUUUUUUUUAAUAGGCAGAGAUCCUGCUUCAUACUGUGCUGGGUUGAUAAGGGAGUGCUUUCUGUGCUGCUGAAAAGUGUGUCCCAUGGUAAGGCCCUUGGUGUGUGCCCACUUAAACUUCAGUGCUUUGUGUUUUCAGUGUGUGACAGCACUUGAUUGCUUAAUAUACAAAUGCAUUCACUUUCUUUUUUUUGCAGCUUUUAUGUGGUUUUUUCCUCCUCUUUUCCCUUUCUCUCCUUCUGAAUGGAAUAGAGGUUUUUUCCCCCUUCUCUGUGACUAGGUAUUUAAAACAUGCUCUUUUGCAAAAUAUGUGGACAUUAGAUAAUCUGAUGUUGCAUAAAAGCUCUUUCAUAUUUUGGGGGCUUCAUGCAUGCAUAAAACAGGCCUAAUUGAAGAUAUAGGCUGUUUGUCACGAAUGUGAAUAUAAGGAUAGGGGACAGAGGGGAAGAAUUAUGUUAAAUACCAGGGUGAUGUGUUUUUUUCUGUUUUCCUUAUUAGUUAUUUGCAAAAAUGUAUCAAAAAGUCAUUUUGAUGCAGUGCACAAUAGUAUCACAAACUUGUGCUUUGCAUCCUAAGUGCCUGGUUAGAGCACAGUUAGAAGCUGAAAUCAUUCCUCGAUUAGUCCCUGGAGUCCUGUAUGAGUCUUUAACUCUCAGCAUGUGGUCUGUGAUUUAACAGUGGAUGAAGGAUGGCUGAGCUGCAGCUCUGUGGAGAACCUCAAAUUUUCCAAUCUGCAGAGGAGCCAUCAAAACCUUGCCAGAGCUGGCAGCAUGUUUACCUCUGGGGCAGAGCUGGAGCUGGCGAGAGUGGCAGACUCUGGUGGGGAGCAGAUCACUGUCAGAAGGAGGCAGGGGAGGUCUCUGGUGGCCCUGCAGCUCUUGGGUGCUGGGACGUGAGCCUGGCUCGCAGCUGUCAUCGUGUGCUUGCAGGUACAGCUUGUGGAGGUCUUGUUUUGGUGAGUCAGUCCCCAUGGAAAAG